UACAGAGGUCUCAAGCGUUGUUCGGAAUUACUGGGCGUAAAGGGCGCGUAGGCGGCCUUCUAAGUCGGACGUGAAAUCCCUCGGCUUAACCGAGGAACUGCGUCCGAUACUGAAAGGCUUGAAUCCGGGAGAGGGAUGUGGAAUUCCAGGUGUAGCGGUGAAAUGCGUAGAUAUCUGGAGGAACACCGGUGGCGAAGGCGGCAUCCUGGACCGGCAUUGACGCUGAGGCGCGAAAGCUAGGGGAGCAAACGGG
rnacentral:rRNA from 1 species